AAUUCUGAGUUCACCCUGUAAAUCUGUACAGAAAAGAGGUCGGAAAACUAGUUUGAGAAGCUGUAUACGAACUUCCUACGCAUGCGCAAGAUUUCUACGUCGGAGCGUACAGAUUCUAUUUGUAUUACUUAGUUAUAAACCGUUUAACUGUGUUGAUAAUGUAAACUGUGCUUAUAAUUCUGGGAUCACUGCAAUUGAAGUCUUUGUGAAUAAAGAAUCGGAACUUAUCCAGCUUGUCUUUCAUUAUGGAGAGUAGUCGGAAGAUGAAGUCUUACAAUCCAAUCCUGAGAUAUACCCCACGAAUUGCAUGCCCGAAGAUCAACUGAUGCCGUAUAAAUGACAAUCGACCAUGGACAAUUCAGCGGAUCCAA